GCCUUCUUAGCUCAGCUGGUUAGAGCGCCUGUUUUGUAAACAGGAGGUCCUGGGUUCGAAUCCCUGAGAAGGCU
rnacentral:tRNA from 1 species